rnacentral:rRNA from 1 species
UGGGGAAUAUUGCACAAUGGGCGAAAGCCUGAUGCAGCAACGCCGCGUGAGUGAUGAAGGUCUUCGGAUUGUAAAGCUCUGUCUUUUGGGACGAUAAUGACGGUACCAAAGGAGGAAGCCACGGCUAACUACGUGCCAGCAGCCGCGGUAAUACGUAGGUGGCGAGCGUUGUCCGGAUUUACUGGGCGUAAAGGGUGCGUAGGCGGAUGUUUAAGUGAGAUGUGAAAUACCCGGGCUUAACUUGGGUGCUGCAUUUCAAACUGGAUAUCUAGAGUGCAGGAGAGGAGAAUGGAAUUCCUAGUGUAGCGGUGAAAUGCGUAGAGAUUAGGAAGAACACCAGUGGCGAAGGCGAUUCUCUGGACUGUAACUGACGCUGAGGCACGAAAGCGUGGGUAGCAAACAGGAUUAGAUACCCUGGUAGUCCACGCCGUAAAUGAUGAGUACUAGGUGUAGGAGGUAUCGACCCCUUCUGUGCCGCAGUAAACACAUUAAGUACUCCGCCUGGGAAGUACGAUCGCAAGAUUAAAACUCUAAAGUGAAUUGAC